rfam:Lupinus angustifolius cultivar Tanjil contig_34906, whole genome shotgun sequence.
AAGUGUGACCAUACCUGCACUAAUGCACAAGAUCCCAUCAAAACUCCACAAUUAAGUGUGUUAAAGUGAGAGUAGUAUUACAGUGGGUGGCCUCCUAGGAAGGCCUUGUGUUCGACCUC